rnacentral:rRNA from 1 species
CACGAGUGUAUAUUAGAUUUGUUGUAGUUAAAAAGCUCGUAGUCGGAAAGGAGACUAUUUUGAUAAUGAGAGCGGGCGGCGUGGAGCAAACGCUCGGCGGCGUCACUCUCAAUUUCGAUAGUCUUUUAACGGGCGAUCAGCGCGCCGCCUUUGCGGGCGGCUGUUGUUCGCUCUGUUUACUUUGAAAAAAUUAGAGUGUUCAAAGCAAGGAGCGGGCCGCCUUAUGGCCUGCGUCUAUCACCUUUUGAAUAUUUUAGCAUGGGAUAAUGAAACAAGACCUUUUUUUGAUUUUAUUGGUUUUCCGUUAUAUUAGGUAAUGAUUAACAGGGACAGUUGGGGGUAUUAGUAUUGUGCUGCUAGAGGUGAAAUUCUUGGAUUGGCGCAAGACUAACUUCUGCGAAAGCAUUUACCAAGGAUGUUUUCAUUG